GACGAACGCUGGCGGCGUGCUUAACACAUGCAAGUCGAACGGAAAGGCCCUGCUUUUGUGGGGUGCUCGAGUGGCGAACGGGUGAGUAACACGUGAGUAACCUGCCCUUGACUUUGGGAUAACUUCAGGAAACUGGGGCUAAUACCGGAUAGGAGCUCCUGCUGCAUGGUGGGGGUUGGAAAGUUUCGGCGGUUGGGGAUGGACUCGCGGCUUAUCAGCUUGUUGGUGGGGUAGUGGCUUACCAAGGCUUUGACGGGUAGCCGGCCUGAGAGGGUGACCGGCCACAUUGGGACUGAGAUACGGCCCAGACUCCUACGGGAGGCAGCAGUGGGGAAUAUUGCACAAUGGGCGGAAGCCUGAUGCAGCAACGCCGCGUGCGGGAUGACGGUCUUCGGGUUGUAAACCGCUUUCGCCUGUGACGAAGCGUGAGUGACGGUAAUGGGGAAAGAAGCACCGGCUAACUACGU
rnacentral:rRNA from 1 species